rnacentral:rRNA from 1 species
AACAGGAUUAGAUACCCUGGUAGUCCACGCUGUAAACGAUGUCGACUUGGAGGUUGUGCCCUUGAGGCGUGGCUUCCGGAGCUAACGCGUUAAGUCGACCGCCUGGGGAGUACGGCCGCAAGGUUAAAACUCAAAUGAAUUGACGGGGGCCCGCACAAGCGGUGGAGCAUGUGGUUUAAUUCGAUGCAACGCGAAGAACCUUACCUACUCUUGACAUCCAGAGAAUUUGCUAGAGAUAGCUUAGUGCCUUCGGGAACUCUGAGACAGGUGCUGCAUGGCUGUCGUCAGCUCGUGUUGUGAAAUGUUGGGUUAAGUCGCAACGAGCGCAACCCUUAUCCUUUGUUGCCAGCGAGUAAUGUCGGGAACUCAAAGGAGACUGCCGGUGAUAAACCGGAGGAAGGUGGGGAUGACGUCAAGUCAUCAUGGCCCUUACGAGUAGGGCUACACACGUGCUACAAUGGCAUAUACAAAGAGAAGCGAACUCGCGAGAGCAAGCGGACCUCAUAAAGUAUGUCGUAGUCCGGAUUGGAGUCUGCAACUCAACUCCAUGAAGUCGGAAUCGCUAGUAAUCGUAGAUCAGAAUGCUACGGUGAAUACGUUCCCGGGCCUUGUACACACCGCCCGUCACACCAUGGGAGUGGGUUGCAAAAGAAGUAGGUAGCUUAACCUUCGGGAGGGCGCUUACCACUUUGUGAUUCAUGACUGGGGUGAAGUCGUAACAAGGUAACC